GCGCACUCUCCGUAGCCGGCUCCACCUUCAGCGUCUGCGCCACGUGGCUCCGAUCCACCCUCGAAGUUCCAGUGGAAUAUCCCCCUUCUGGAAAAAUGGUUUCACCCACUCUUUCUCUGGAACUGGUCGGGGCGCUACCACUGUCCGGUCCGGAGGGGAACUGUUUUCUCCGGAAGUGACCACACGCUGACUCGGAAAAGGAGGAGGCGGGGCAGUGGGGCCUUCGGCGGCGACUAUGGAAGGAGCCGGCUACAGGGUGGUGUUUGAGAAGGGCGGAGUGUACCUGCACACCAGCGCUAAGAAGUAUCAGGACCGAGACUCCCUCAUCGCUGGUGUUAUCCGUGUCGUGGAAAAGGACAAUGACGUCCUCCUGCACUGGGCUCCUGUAGAGGAGGCUGGAGAUUCCACCCAAAUCCUCUUCUCCAAGAAGGACUCCAGUGGGGGUGACUCCUGCGCUUCUGAGGAGGAGCCAACCUUUGACCCCGGCUAUGAACCUGACUGGGCCGUCAUCAGCACUGUGCGGCCACAGCCCCGCCACUCAGAGCCCACGAGAGGUGCAGAGCCCAGCUGCCCCCAGGGCUCCUGGGCCUUCUCAGUGAGUCUGGGGGAGCUCAAGUCCAUCCGCCGCUCCAAGCCCGGCCUCAGCUGGGCCUACCUGGUUCUGGUGACCCAGGCUGGAGGCUCCCUGCCCGCACUGCACUUCCACCGCGGGGGCACCCGCGCCCUGCUCCGCGUCCUCAGCCGCUACCUGCUGUUGGCCAGCUCCCCGCAGGACUCCCGCCUCUACCUUGUCUUCCCCCACGACUCCUCUGCCCUCUCCAACUCCUUCCACCACCUGCAGCUCUUUGACCAGGACAGCUCCAAUGUGGUAUCUCGUUUCCUCCAGGAUCCCUACUCCACCACCUUCAGCAGCUUCUCCCGAGUGACCAACUUCUUCCGGGGUGCCCUGCAGCCACAGCCCGAGGGAGCCGCCUCCGACCUUCCCCCGCCACCUGACGAUGAGCCCGAGCCUGGGUUCGAGGUCAUUUCCUGUGUGGAGCUGGGGCCUCGGCCAACCGUGGAGCGGGGCCCUCCAGUUACAGAGGAGGAGUGGGCGCGCCACGUGGGCCCUGAGGGCCGCCUGCAGCAGGUACCCGAGCUGAAGAAUCGGAUCUUCUCAGGGGGUCUGAGCCCCGGCCUGCGGCGUGAGGCGUGGAAGUUCCUCCUGGGGUACCUCAGCUGGGAAGGCACAGCUGAGGAGCACAAGGCCCACGUUCGCAAGAAAACGGAUGAGUAUUUCCGAAUGAAGCUGCAGUGGAAAUCUGUGAGCCCUGAGCAGGAGCGGAGAAACUCACUCCUGCACGGAUACCGCAGCCUCAUCGAGAGAGACGUGAGCCGCACUGACAGGACCAACAAGUUCUACGAGGGUCCCGAGAACCCGGGGCUGGGGCUGCUGAACGACAUCCUUCUCACCUACUGCAUGUACCACUUCGACCUCGGCUACGUCCAGGGCAUGAGUGACCUUCUCUCCCCGAUCCUCUACGUCAUUCAGAAUGAGGUGGAUGCUUUCUGGUGUUUCUGUGGCUUCAUGGAACUCGUGCAAGGGAACUUUGAAGAGAGCCAGGAGACUAUGAAGCGGCAACUCGGGCGACUGCUGCUGCUCCUGAGGGUGCUGGACCCCCAGCUCUGCGACUUCCUGGAUUCCCAGGACUCUGGCUCUCUCUGCUUCUGUUUCCGGUGGCUGCUCAUCUGGUUCAAGAGGGAAUUCCCCUUCCCGGAUGUCCUUCGGCUGUGGGAGGUGCUGUGGACAGGGCUCCCUGGCCCCAAUCUGCACCUGUUGGUGGCCUGCGCCAUCCUGGACAUGGAGCGGGACACCCUCAUGCUGUCCGGCUUCGGCUCCAAUGAGAUCCUCAAGCACGAGCCAUAGAGUGGGCGCUCGGGCGGAGGUGGCUGAGUGCUGACUGGCGCCUGACCCACCCCCUCCCGCAGCACAUCAACGAGCUGACUAUGAAGCUGAGCGUGGAGGACGUGCUGACGCGCGCAGAGGCCCUGCACCGCCAGCUAACCGCCUGCCCCGAGCUGCCCCACAACGUGCAGGAGAUCCUGGGGCUGGCGCCGCCCACAGAGCCCCACAGCCCCUCGCCCACCGCCUCCCCGCUGCCGCUGUCGCCCACCCGGGCCCCGCCCACCCCGCCGCCCCCCACGGACACAGCUCAGCAGCCCGACAGCAGCCUGGAGAUCCUGCCAGAAGAGGAGGACGACGGCGCAGACUCCUAACCCCGCCCGGCAGCCUUGUUCUGCACAGGCACUUUAGACCGAGCCAGGGACACCUGCGAGGGGCCGGGUGCACUCCGCCGCCCUACUGAUAAGCUGGCUUCAUUAAACUGACACUUCUCAUGUGCAA